AGUGAACGCUGGCGGUAGGCCUAGCACAUGCAAGUCGAACGGCAGCACAGUAAGAGCUUGCUCUUACGGGUGGCGAGUGGCGGACGGGUGAGGAAUACAUCGGAAUCUACUUUUUCGUGGGGGAUAACGUAGGGAAACUUACGCUAAUACCGCAUACGACCUACGGGUGAAAGUAGGGGAUCUUCGGACCUUGCGCGAUUGAAUGAGCCGAUGUCGGAUUAGCUAGUUGGCGGGGUAAAGGCCCACCAAGGCGACGAUCCGUAGCUGGUCUGAGAGGAUGAUCAGCCACACUGGAACUGAGACACGGUCCAGACUCCUACGGGAGGCAGCAGUGGGGAAUAUUGGACAAUGGGCGCAAGCCUGAUCCAGCCAUACCGCGUGGGUGAAGAAGGCCUUCGGGUUGUAAAGCCCUUUUGUUGGGAAAGAAAAGCAGCAGGUUAAUACCCCGCUGUUCUGACGGUACCCAAAGAAUAAGCACCGGCUAACUUCGUG
rnacentral:rRNA from 1 species